CACGAGGCUACAUUUGCCAGCAUAUAGUCUCUUUAAGGUUUGGAACUUUUCUGCAGAGUGCUGUGGGGAACUGUGCCUUCAAUAUGCUUGCAAGUGGUUAGCAGCAGGAGGUACAGCCUUCCUGGAUUCAAUUGUGGUCCAUGCAAUGCUCUGUGGUAACACUGAGACAUGGAAUUUUGGGAUUGAUUACCCUGAGGCUUGGUACCAAAGAGGCAGAUUGAUCUCACAGUAGGAGACAUUCUUUUGUGAUGAAAGCGGAAGAUUUUGUUACGCUGCAGAAAAACAGACUGCACCAGAGAGCUGACAGAGAACAUACAGAAAGGAAAGAAAAAAAGAGCUGCAAUUUCAGUUUCAUCUUCCUAGCAUAUCAGAACAGGGUCUGUACUGCAGCAUUAGAGAUGAAGAGAAAAAACCUACAAGAUAAAAUAUUAUAGUACGUAUGUGUACUGAAAAUGGGUGAACAGCAUGGAGCAAACACAAGCCCACUUGGACCAGCACUGUUUGUAGUAACAGAAUGAAAAUCCAGCUUCUUGGUUUUGAGUUUGGCAUAUUCAAACAGUGUGGCAGGAUCACAACACAUCAAAGGGGUAUCUAUAUGUCAGCACCAAGUCAAAAAGUUCCUGUUUGGGAAACCAAAAUUGUAAGGAUAUGUAGCAAGUUAUUAAUACAGGCAUAAUUAUGAAAUGAAAUGUUGUCACUCCCAUGCUACUAUGACUGGGCUAUUAUCUGUGUGAAGCCUCUGAGCAUUCCCAGUGUAAAUUAGAUUUGUUAAAGGAUUUUUGUGGAAUACUGCGUAGACACAGACUGAGUUGAGUGCUCAGGCAUUUAGUAAGUAUUUGGACCUCCUCGCCAGCCAGCCUGCCUCCUGACUGCUUAUUCAACAUUUAUACUGUGUCAGCAGUUACAUCAAACCAAAGAUGGAGUCGUUACUUACUUCAAGUUUACUAGCUUUGCAAGGAAACUUUGGAGAAAAAAAUAAUAUACAUUUAAACAGACAGUUUGAUAUUUUUCCCAUUACCAAGGAAACUGCAGAGAAAGGACUUUAAGUUCAAGGCAAUAAUGUUUUUUCAUGCGGUGAAAUGAGCAAUUUUGCAGUUAUCGAUUGUUUUUACAUGGAGCUUUUAGAUAGUUGCUCCCAUACUUUCCAUGUGUUUUCUCACUUACAUAGACAGUUCCAUAGCAGUAACUUCAUACAUAUCCUCUAAAGUGCUGUACACUUGCAAGCCAUCCAUGGGGUACAGGGAAAAAGAGAAGCCAACCAUUUCCCCAUACAGUGACUGUUAUAUUCUGUCACCUGAAGUCCAUUCUGAGCUUCUCUGGGCUAUCUUUGCAACACAAUGACAUCUGCAUGUUGUCCAGUUAUACCAGAAGAACGACAGAAGAUACUGGAUAUGGUUUAAUUAGGCCAUAACUUUAUUAUUAAGUGUUUUGGAGUAUCGGCAUAUAAAAGUGUACCGUGCAGGUAACUCCAUGAUUAUUUCAAUAUCUACUUGGCUUGCAUCUAUAUAAUCUCCCCUCUCCUCUGGUCACCUGCCUCUGCAGCUACUGUGUGUCUCUCUGCCCUUAAAGAGGUAUACCCCUUCCACUGGCAAGCCAGACUGUGCCCCCAUUCCCUGCUUAAGGUGCGGUCAUUUGCCACACUUUGUGGUUUAGUCCUAAAUUAGAACCCAAAGCCUCUUGUUUAGCAUUGUUACUAGUCACAAUUCCUACUGUAGUUUAAGAAAGCUGUUUCUUUUAGAAAAGAAUACGCUAUUUAAAAGGUCAAAUUAAAUAAGACACUGUUACGACUAAUUUGCUUCUUUUCCUAGGGUUUAUAAAUCAACAUCUCAUAGCUGUGAUUAUGGAAUAUGUAACUGGGUCAAUUUUUUCAGCCUGGCCUUAGCUGGGUCUCAUUUAUGGUCACAGAUAAUUAUAGGUGUAAUUUUAUGCCCUCAAUUAUUUGCAACUGAAUGAAGGCCAGUGUCUGAAAAUCUGACCCAUAAUAGCUGUCCCUGUCACUGCCUCCAUGCAGGUUUAAUAUGUUGUUUAAAAAGAACAAAAUGUGAACUUCCUUGCCUUCUCCAAAACACAAAGAAAUAGUUUAAUAUUAAAAUCAACCUGAGUUAUUUAAAAUAUCUGCACAGUAUAUCAAAGCCAAAGUACCAGUCUGUUCAUAAAACACUAUUUCCACAUUAGCAGAAACAAGCAAAGUUUUUCAUUAUCGGACUGAGAAUAAAGAAUUAGAUUAGUAAUUUUCUCUCUUCAUCAUUAUCUCAGCCCUGCUGCACAAAGCUGUUGUAACCCAGAUGGAAUGAUUCUUGUCACAAUAUUAUGCCAGUGAGUUGCUCUCAUUUAGUCAUAAAUUUAAAGUCAUUAUUGAGCAAAUGAGAUUGGUCUGUCUGUAUGACGAAUACCAAUCUGUAGAUAAUUUCUCUCUUCGUCAAAACAAAUAUAAAAGGCUUUCUAUAGACCCACUUCUUUCAAGUAGAUUUUUCAACAGUGAUACCCAGGCACUAAUUUACAAAACAAAUAAUAUUUAAAAAAAAAUGGAAGCCAGCAUUUAGAUUACUUCCUCAACUCCAUCCCUUUUUUUUUCUAAUGCUAUCUCUCAGUAGAUCACAUUUAGCUUAUUACAUCUUCCUUAAAUCCAUAUGCUACUAUUCAUGAAAGAAUGAGACAUAAUGCAUUUUUGUUAUGAACUCUAUUUUUGUACUUCAUUUAGGCUCUGAUCCUGUAAGGUGUGCCACAUUAAGCCCCCCGACUUCAGGCAUCCACUUGUAUGGCAAGUGCAGGAGUGGGGAGUUAGACCACUCCGAUCCAGCAAAGCACUUAAACGUGUCCUGAGUAGCCUCAUUUACAUCAGUAGGACUACACACGUGCUUAAUAUUAUACAUGGGCCUAAGUGCUCUGCUGGAUAGCUUAGAUAUGAAGGCGGCAGGUGCCUUAAAAAUACCAAGCUAAAUCCUCAACUGGUGUAAAUUACUUCAGUAGAGCUAUGUAGAUUUACAGUAGCUGAGGAUCUGGUCAACUGUCUCUUAUUUGUGUCUAUAGUGCUGUAUAAAUCUAUUAUUAUUAUUUAUUAUUUAUUUUUUAGUCAUUUAAGUUGCCCAGCGGCAUUCUAAAUUGGUGAAAAUCUGUUUAAUAUCCAUGGGCCAGAUUCUGCCAUGCUUGCUUACUUACCCUAAGCAGUAUCUUAUUCCAUGAGUAGUUCCACUGAAAUCAAUUUGAGUAAGGUUGGAAUAAUCAAGCCAUCGGUUGAUACUAUUUGUCUGUGUUCUUACACCUAACCAUGUGAGUAAUGGGAGCAGAAUUUGGCUCACAGAAGUAGAACAGUCUAAUUCUAAAACAGAGGAUUGGCAAGAUUCUUAAGUUUUGCCUCAACAUGGCCUGAGUCUAGAAACAUGUUCCCAAGGGUGCUGUGCAUCCCCAAUACACAAACUGUACAUUAAUAAUUAAUUUGAAUUCUGCAGCAAAUUUAAAUUUUUAGGUAUUCAAUUUAAAAAUCUGACAGAUUUUUAGACCUACAACUUCCCUUCAAGUUUGUUGGCUAUAUUUUUUCAUUAAUAUUUCUAUUAACUGUUUUUAUCAAUGUAAGUAUAGAUUAGUUGUUACCACUUUUUUAAACCCAGAAAUCCCUAACCCAUGCAUGCAAAAAAAGGUCAAUUAGCAAAGUAGUAGAUCAGCCAUAUCAAGAAGUGAUACCUAGAAAAAUGGCCACAUGUCUUGGGGUAUUAAUAUUUGCAUUUAGGGAGCUGCUAGUUGUUAGAAGUUUUCAAAUAGAAAUUUGUAUUUGUUUUUGUAAUGUUAAAUAACUGUCACGGUGUUCAGAGCCUAUGUAUGGGCCCUCUAUAUUAUUAUUCCAAAUGGAAAAUAAAGAAAGAAAUAGAUUAACUUAAUGUA